CGGGUCGGCUAGACGGUCGCGUCGGAUGCGCGCCCCGAGUAAUCGGGGAACGGCACCGCCGAGGAACGUCCGGGCUCCACAGAGCAGGGCGGUGGGUAACACCCACCCGGAGCAAUCCGCGAGAAAGUGCAACAGAGAGCAGACCGCCGGCGGCUUCGGCCGCCGGUAAGGGUGAAACGGUGGUGUAAGAGACCACCAGAGCCCCGAGUGAUCGGGGCUGCUGGGUAAACCUCGCCCGGAGCUAGAUCAGACAGGCACCCGUGACGCUGCUCGCCGAGGUGCCGGGUAGAUCGCUAGAGGGUGUCGGCAACGCCACCCCGAGAUAGAUGGCCGUCGUCCGGGGCUCGCCCCGGGCACAGAACCCGGCGUAUCGGUCGGCCCGCUUG
rnacentral:RNase_P_RNA from 1 species